AACGAGACUCACAUGCACACCACGUAUCCCUGGAACGCUCUAGAUCUUUUUGUUUUCUCCUCGUGUCUAUGCGCGGGGAUGUGUUGCGUGGUGUCUCCACCGCCGCUUCUCUUUUCGCUUGUCGCUUACCGUGGCAUUAGUUUCGCGUUAGGCAGACUCUCGGCAUCGCCUUCACGGCUCAAGGAAUGCCGUUGAACACGCACGGCGACGCGUGCACCGCCCCCUUCAGUGGUCAUGAGCUCCACUGGUAGCCUACGUCUUCCCCGGCGAAUAAUACAGCGAGAGUGCGUCGCGGUACAUCUAACGCGCGUUUUAAGAGGAAGAUCGUCCUCUGGCCGACAGGCGCUUGUCGCUGCUUCAAGGCGGCUGGUGGCCGGGUGAUGCUGUCUUCGUCUUGCGGCAACGCAUCGCCGCCGCUGGUGUUGGGUGCCUGCGGCUCUCUGUCUACUUUGUGUCCCGUACGCACCUGUCGCCGGUGCUGAUGGAAGCACUCUCUCUGAUGAUCCCGCAGUCGCGAUGCCGGGGAACCUCUGCUCGGUUGACGGGGCGGCACUGGCGGCGAAGAAGUGUCGGGCCUUCGAUUUCGGUCUGUUCCUCUCUUGGAGGCAAGGAAUGGAAAUGCUGUACGAGCCACCAGCAGCACGAGCAGCUGCGACUCUUCAGUCUGGUGCAUCCGUUAAUGUGGCCUUGGGGCCACCUGCCUCGUUGCCCGCGGUGAAUGCUGUAUGCUGUGAAGCGGAAUCGUCCCCCGCGCUGGAGGAGUCGCCGGGGCGCAGAUGCUGACGCCACCUUCACUGAGCAAUGGUUUCGGGUGCGGCGGCUGAGUCGCUUGUGCCCCUACGACGGGGGCUCUCACAGAACCUUCUGUGCUUUACUGUAAGGCUUCUUCUCGGGAGGCCCACAGCAGCCAGCCACGAAUCAGAUGGCUGGGGCGGACCUCUAUAGGGCCCUUGCCCACGCUUUGGCGGAUUCGACGGUGGCCACGCCAGACGCGAGCGAUGCCGCUUCUGCAAUCAGCUCGUCGAGGCACGAUCGUGCUGCGCCCGGAGUCCAUCGACCGCGACGUGCGCCACAAGCCCCCAUCGCGCGUUCUACUUCGUGGAUCUCUGGAGGAUUCUCUCGGGCAGCAGUGCGUGCACGCCGCCCUCUCCGUGCAUACGCUCUUCUGGACCCAGAUGCGCAGAGCUGUCAAGGAAUGGCAGUCAUCGCCGCCGUGCUGCUCAUGGUGGCGCUGGGCACUCAAUCGUUUCAGCUCUUCUGCAGUCUCACGCGCGAGGGCAACGUACCCGCACCGAACCUCUUGCUGUGGCUGCUGCCUUCGCAAGGGGCCCUGUUACGGGCUGCGUGCGUGGGCUGCGGGAGCUGUGCCUCUUCGGUAUUCCACUCCUGCCAGCACUGCUGCCGGUGCUAGCUGCGCACUUACAUCCAAAUUUUGUGUACGUUUCGCUGCUCGCCUCUCCGUGGCUUCUCAGCCUUUUCGUGCAUCAACUGUCGCCCGGCGGUGCUGCUGCGUGCGUGGGGCCAGCUCCUUGUGCCUGAUUGGCCUGUCACGGUGGAGAUCGCCGUCGCCCUUUUCCAUCAAGAGCAAGGGCCGCUGCUAACGCUGCCGCAAAAGGAUGUGCUACUGCGUCUGAAGGAGGCGCGCUCACGGUUGCAGAGCAGAGGCGAGCUGCUGCGACGUGUCUGCAGCGUUCCGCCAAUGUGAACGACCGCUCUUUUCUGUGCUUGUUGUUCUUUCUGCCUGUUCUUGGCAUUUGGUGCGAGUGCGCGGUUGUCUGUUGGGGAAGCCACGUGCCAGCGACGUCAUCCGCGGCAAU
rnacentral:misc_RNA from 1 species